GUUGGUGUCUCAGAAGGCAUUGUUAUUGAGGAGUCUCCACCAUGGCCUGGGCUCUGGUUCUCCUCACCCUCCUCACUCAGGGCAUGGGGUCCUGGGCCCAGUCUACCCUGACUCAACCUCCCUCAUUAUCAGGGGCUCUGGGAAGUACUGUCACCAUCUCCUGUGCUGGAAGCAGCAGUAACAUUGGAGGGAUCCCCAAUCGCUUCUCUGGCUUGAAGACUGGAAACACAGCCAUCUUGAUCAUCUCUGGGCUCCAGGUUGAAGACGAGGGGGAUUAUUAUUGCACCUCAGUUACUUUGAGUGAUAAUUCUCACAGUGGUGCAAGUUCAUGA